CCUGUAAACCCGCAGGCCUCGGCCAAUAGGAAGGUGCUCCAGGACAUGAGGAAGAAGAGGGCGGUCUCCAGCAGGGGGAAGCAGUGCAGCUUGGUGAACUUGGAUAUGAGGGCGGUGACAACCCCUGUGACGGCACCCAUGGCGAAGGAUCCGCUGAAGAUUCCGAGGAACACGCCCACCGACUUGAAGAACGCCGCCGCAUCGAACAUGUGGGUGUUUUCUCCACUGGGCUGGUAGGCCAUGAUGGACCUGAAACCAAACAUCUGCUUUUCACCGUUUAUCCUUUUCACUGUUUAAUGUUUAGUACAAUAUGAAGUUCCACGAGUUUCAAUAACAAUGCUAAGGAAAUGAAAAAGCAUUCAAUGGUGUUUCUGUUUGUAGAUAAAUAUAUUGUUGCACAUUUCCCCUUUUCCAGGCAGAUGUGUGGAUCCGACGAUUCACAUCAGUGUAGAGUUUCAACAUGUGUUGAAUAGCAGAAGUUCCUGGAAACGGCGGUGCUCAUUAGCUGAGGCCAGAUGUGGGAACAACAAACGGAAAAGGGGGAACAGGACUCACGAGGAGAGAACAAUGGCCACGGCGUCGUUCAUGACACUCUCUCCAAACAGGAGAGCGUAGAGGUCCACGUCCACGUGGAGCUCAGUGAAGAUGGCCAGCACCGUCACUGCUCGCACCGACACACGGAGAGACAGAUGGACACAGGGUUACACAGGGAGGCGGAGAAAGGAAAGGACAGACAGACGAACAGGGAGAGGGAGCGAAACAGGCACGUAGGGAACCGAAAGAGGAUUGGAUAGUCAGACGGACAGAGACGGGUAAAGAGAGAGACAGCCAGGGUAACCGACGAGACAGAGAGACACGACAGUAAUUAUGGCGCAGGUAGGGGUCAAACAUUGUGUGUGUGUGUGUGUGUGUGUGUGUGUGUGUGUGUGUGUGUGUGUGUGUGUGUGUGUGUGUGUGUGUGUGUGUGUGUGUGUGUGUGUGUGUGUGUGUGUGUUUGUGUGUGUGUGU